rnacentral:lncRNA from 1 species
GUGUCCCCAAACAGCGUCAAAGCAAAAGGAUGUGGAAGGGAGCCUUUAACCACUGCUUGCCGAUGACUUCCAUCGAGAUUUGACUUGUGGAUGAAAUUCAGUUUAGCAUCUGCCCAAUAAAGUUUCUGUUCCUCAUAAUCCAAUGUCAGUCCAUUUGGCCAAUAAAUGUCCGUGUUGACUAUAAUGGAGCGGCUUGAACCAUCCAUCCCAGCACGUUCUAUCUUUGGCACUUCUCCCCAGUCUGUCCAAUACAUGAACCCUCUUGCAGGAUCUAAGGCAAUUGCUCUGGGUUGAUCCAAUUCUUGCCAAAAUAAAACUUUUCUCAAUGAUCCAUCUAAAUUCGAAACUUCAAUCCGAUUUGUUUCAGAAUCUGUCCAAUAUAAUUUCUCUCCCAGCCAGUCACAUGCCAGCCCAUCAGGUGACAAAAGUCCAGAAAUGACCACAUUUUGUACACUCCCGGAUUUAUUGAAUUCUGUUCGUUUAAUGGCUUCUUCACUCACGUCGCUCCAGUAUAUCAACCCCUUCACGAACACAAAGUCCACUGCCGCUGCAUCUUCGAGGCCACCCACGAUUACUGUGGCAUUCUCCUUCCCGUUGGCAGCAUCCACCAGCCUCAGGUCACGGCGGUUUGCAUACAGCAACAGUGGGGCAGCUCGCAUCAGGGAACAAAAACUGCAGGCGAGCAGGCUCCGCAGGACGGCCCCCAUCUUCCCUCGCUCCGCGCUCUCACCGGCGGGGCGGCGGCGAGGAGCAGUCCCUCCGCUGCCACUUCAUGCUGCCCGGCGGGCGGGGAGGCGAGGAGGAGGGCCGGGCAGCGGCGAAGGGCGGCCGCCGAGCCCCCCUAGCAGGCCGCUGGCCCCGCCGCGCCGCAGCGGCACCGAGCGCUCCCCUGCAUGCCGGCCUCCGCGUCGCUGCCGCGGCCGCUCGCCAUCCACUCUCCGCUCCCUCGCUCGCCCGGCCUCCGCCUCCGCCGGGCGCGCACAGGCGCAGGGAUACAGCCCUCCUCCUUCUCUCCUCCUCCUCCUCCCCCGGCCCGGCCUGGCCCCCGCCCCGCGCCGCGCCCGCCCGCCCGGCUCCGCGCUCCCGCCGCACCGCCCGCCUUCUCAGGCUGGGAGCGAGCGGGCGGGCAGAGGGCGGCGCGCACGCAAACGGCGGCGGGCGGGCGAGCGCCUCGCGGCCCGGCGGGCAGCUCCGCCUCGGGCGGGGCGCGGGGCGAGGGCGGGCGCGCGCGGCCCACGGGCGCCCGUGGGCAGGGCGAGGGGUCGGACGGGGGGAGCCGGCCGCCGCCGUCGCAUUCCAGCGGGACUAUUUCCCGCGUUGUUUCGCACGCACGCCUCCGCCGCCUUUUUGGGUGCGAUGCGGUUGUCGGAGCAACACCGGCCCGGGAGGGACGGGACUACUUUCAGUCACAGAGCGGUGGCGGCUGCACAAAGGCGGCCGCUCCCCUUCGCCCGCAGGUGAGGGCUGCCCGGCCGCGCUCCCCCUCCGUCCCUUUCGGCCGCUGCACGGCGGCGGUUCCCGAGUGAAGGGCGGGCUGCGGCGCCACAGCCUUUCCACGGGAGUUUCUGCGGAGCUGCCCCGUGGGCAAAGCUACUUCAGUAUUUCUGCGAGGAACGUCACAUCUCACGGGGCGUCCCUCCUCUCCUCCCGCAACGUGACAGCUGUUCCGAGGGAUGAGGCAGCGAGGCAGAGCGACUUAAAGCAAAAUUUGAGAUCCUCGCGUGCAGAAGUCUGUAUUACUUUCAGGGUUAUUAGAAACUUAUGGAAACAUUUAACUUUUAAUUUCGUAUCUGUUGAACAUAUAUUUUCAUAGCUUUUCUUGUGAUUACAGUAGGAGAUAACAUCUGGGCCAGAUUAAAGGCCCAGGCAUUGCAGACCGGCUCUGACAUCAGACUCCAGCAGUCAUGUGAUGAUAUCAGACUUUCAGAUUCUACUGGGGAGAAACCGCAAGUCAAAACUUUGUAGAGAAAGAAGUAUACCUCCAACUUUAAAAGUUGUUUAAGAAAGGGGGGGGGGGGGGAGGGAAUCUUGAAAAAGUAAACAGCUCAACAGCAAGAGCUGCCUGAGGGCAGGUCUGCAUUCAAAUAUGUCUUUGACUCCACCGGGUGGAACAACCUCCUCUGUUGUUGCCAUGUCAGCUAGGAGGAUAAGCAAACUCAAGCAAGAUCCACAGUGGUGGUGGAGGGGAAGGGCUUCCCAUGAGAAAACGUACCAGAGAGUGGAUAAACCUUAGCAUACCCUUGCUGUCACAACUGGAUUUUGUGGGAACAGACAGAAGCAGCACAGCAUUCUAUUUAUUUUCACUGAGCAAUUGGAAUCAAAGAAAACAGUAACUCACAACGUUGUAUGAUCAGUGAUUAACCUCUUGUGAAGUAUUGCAAGUCCAUAAUGAAUUCUUCCUAUCUUAAUAACACGAUGCACAGCUGAGAGAAAGCUCAAGCCUGAACCCUCGAAUGUCACAUUUCUCUAUGUGCUGUUCCCUCUUGCAUCUUGUGUUCUUUUUUCUUUUGCUGGAAACACAAUGGUGUCUUGACUAUCUCCCUCGGAAGCCGGAUCCCCUGCCUGUUGGCUCUCGCAUCUUCCCCACCAUCCCAUCUGACUGGCUUUAUUUUUAGCUUACAAACAUUACAUGCUGUCACCCGUCACGAAUUUGACCAUUUUUCUAUACUUCAAGACCUUUCCUUUCCUGAUUGGAUUUCCUCUAAGUCACUGAGUGAUUAGUGACUUCACUUAUGUAUCCCCUUUUCUCCAUCUGCUUCUUAGAGACAGUCCUCUCCCUACUCAAGCCUACGUAGCCUUUUUAAAAACAGUUUUCCAUUCAAUGCUUAGGAUUCAGGACCAAACCCAUGUUGUAUCUGUUUCUCAGCUUUAUUUCUAAUUCAUACAGACAGCAGGGACUCAGCUGUAGAGGUUUUUACGAAGUAAACCAGAUUACCUCACACAGAAAAGAUUCUGACAGCCAGGGCUCCUCUGAAAUACUUACAUUCUUUCAUUUGAUCUUAAAGUUAAGGUGAAGGAAAUAGGAAUGCAGAGGGAACGUUUCUUCUAUUGCAGUAGGAAGCUCCUCAUGUUGGUUACAAUUAUUUUUAUUAAUCUUAUGAGUGGAAGUAUUCAUUUGCUCGUUCAAAUCCAGUCAGAGACUUUGGCUGUCAAGAAAUCUGUACAAUCUUAUUCUUACCUCUGGACUCGGAUGGUGAUUCGAUGAUACAGGAGCUUUCACAAGAAUUUCAUUAUACUCAGGUUAGUUCCCUGGUUUGGUUCAUAAUACGGCUUCACAAGCAUUUUUGUCAACUCAGAGGACAGCCGGGGUGGCAACUGGACCUCCUAAAACCAGUAGUAACUGCUCAAGUCUCUGUAUCUUUGAACAGUGCCCUGUGUUGCAGUGAAGUCGGUGGGAUCCUUUGUAGAAUGGGGACUGAAGUCCCUAAUGAACAAAAGCUGUUAGCAGAAGAUAGCUGCGCAGCAAAUGAAUUUGUGGCUGCCCACAUCACAGAAACCACUAUCAUAAUUAGCUCCCUUGCUGAAUGUCUCAACAAGAGUUAAUGGGCAUGGCAUGGUGAAAUCCUGGUCCCUCUGAAGUCAAUGGUAAAACUCUCACCAACAUCAAAAGGGUCACGUUUCAUACUGAAACUCUAGCUCAAGUCCUCUCUUGCAUCCAUAAGGAAAGAUUGCAGCAAAGUAGCAUAGGAGAUGGGAUGUGAAGUAGUGAUGACUUCAUCAGUGAUGUCUGUUACAACAAUUUCACGGGUAAAAUAAGACACCCUACUCCACAAAUCAUCACCUUGCUACUUUGCCUAGGUUGUACUGUUGGUACUCAUAAAAACCUUCAUCCACUUCUUUUCCAAAACAGAAUCAGCUCUAAGAAAUUUGACAGGUGCACCUUACAAGAUUUAUCCUGUUCCAAGAGAGCAAUGGAGCCAUAAUGUUCCUUCUUUAAAGAAUAGAAUACUAGAUCAUCUAUCCCUUCUUAAAAAUCAGUAAUAAGCAGACAUAUUUUUCCUUCACUUUUACUAUUAAAAGUAAAGCCACAUUAACUGCGUCUUUUCAACAAGACUUAGGCAGCUUAUGAGCGGAUUUCCUUGGACUGAUAGCCAUUUCUCUAUUCCAGAAAUUUUCUCCAGGGUGGAAGAUCUCAGUUAUCUUCAGUUACUAUCUGUAGGGUUCCCCACAGUCUGUCAAACCAUCGCAAUAGCUAGCAUUCCUGCUAUUUUCCCACUGAUCAGUCAAGUCCUCUCCCCACCCCCCCCUUUUUUUAAUCAUAUAAGGAGUUGCCUCUUCUCCUUGCUUUUCAGUUCUACCUUAUUUUUUUCUCCAUUAAGUGUAAUACCCAUUCCUUUUCUACCAUCUCCUCUUUUAGAAGAUGCUGCCUGGUGUCCAGGAUGAGAACUGCAUUUCUUUGUGGCUGAAAAAAUCCUUACAACAAAAACUUCACAGAGAAGGUCCUGGAGUUCAGCAGAGCAUAGGGUUUUCAACAGGAAGAUCUGGAAACAAAAGCAAAAGAAAACCUAGCAAGUACCUGAGCAAAACCUCCGCUCUUGGGCAACAUUAGAUAGAAAAUGAAGCAGCUGUGCAGAAAAAGGAGGUAGAAGUUUGAUACUGAGUUGUCACUGCUGAAGGUAAGAGAGUAAAAUAAAUAUGAAUUGAGCUGAGUUGGAGAUUCAAGCAGGAUUUAUUAAACUUUAAGUCAAAGUCCAAAUGAGGAAUAUGCAGAUUCAUUUCUGUGGAGACCUAUUUUGUUUUACCAGGUCCAUUAAGACCAAGGCAGUUUCUAAUUAGGAUUUAAGCAAUAUUCAACUAGGUGGAAACUAGAAAAAGGUAAAAGAAAGCAGGGACUGUUAUAAAGCCAUGGACUUUACCCCCAGAAAACAUACCUAUCUUUUCAAUUAACUUUUCAAGCCCAUGUUCCUUCCACAGUCUUAGCUGUAAUAUAGGUGUCAGCACACACUGGAACAAGCACAAGAACUGGUGUCUCACGUGAGGACAAUUACCACCUGCCAGCUGAUGCACGGUAAUCUGCUGUUGUGCAUGGUCACGGGCCAUAGCUGCCACAUCUACCCAUUUUAGUUCAGUCUGGGUUGUUCCCCAUUAUAACCUUCUGUUUCAAAUGCCUGAUAUCCUAUAGACUCAAGAGACAUUCUAAACACGAGUGAGGAAGCAGUACUUGAACUGCUUGUAGCACGCACACCAUUUUUUAUCACUCUUC